AGACUUUAUCAUGCAGAGAAGAUUUCAAACACCAAUCUAGUAUUCAUUAUUAGUGACAGCCAACUGCUGUGCCGCUCCUGUGACCCAAAGCCACUGAUGCAAGCAGAGAAGCCGGAUGAGGGACCAAAUCCUUGUGAAAUGGUCAAACAACCUCGAUACAGAAAGGGUCCUGAUGUCUGUUUUGAUGAAGCCAAACAGGAAGAUUCGGCCGACUGUGGUGGUGUCUCUGGUCUGAGUCCAUCACUGUGGUCUAUGGUAGGAAUUCAGUUGGUCCUGCUUUGGCUGUUAUCUGGCAGCAGACACUGCCAGUUAUGACCUUGCUAAACCAAAACCUGCAUAACUUAAUCAAGACCCGGCCAAAAUGACAGCCUCAGUUUCAUUUUAAAAAGGGUCAGCUAUUCAGACAGCAGCAAACAGCAAUGCUCGUGUCUGGUUAUCACUCGUUGUGAGACUCAUAAAGGCACCCACGGUGGCUGCAUGUUGGAGUGUCGGAUCCUUUAACAUGUGUGAAUGCUGCAUCAUCUAUGCCAUCUGAACAGAAUUCUGUACGUGCUCCAUUGGGGAAUCUAAGAAUUUUUUUUUUUCAUUUGUUUGUUGUUGUAAUCUUGAUGACUUCAUGUAAAAGGGCUCCCCUGAUGAUAGCUUAUGUGUAUGACUUUCAUUUCUUUUAAGCUUUGGAUAUCUUGAAGAUUUAUAUUCUUUUACAUGAACGAUUACUUAAAA